CCAGUUCAGCGCCUCGGCACGCGCAUUGGUCUUGUGCGCUUCGACCUGCUUUUGUAAAUGUCGAGUCGAUUGUGGACCGGAGCGCACAUGACUGCUAUCCUCGGUAUCUCGGCAUUUUAUCACGACUCAGCGGCUGCCUUGAUCGUGGAUGGGGAAAUCGUGGCGGCAGCUCAGGAAGAGCGUUUCACACGCGUCAAGCAGGAUGCCAGUUUCCCAGUCAACGCCAUUCAGUAUUGCCUCGCGCAAGCGAACCUCGAGCCCGAGGACCUUGAUCAUGUCGGGUUUUACGACAAGCCGUUGAAGAAAUUCGAACGGUUGCUGGAAACCUACUUGGCGUUUGCCCCGG
rnacentral:misc_RNA from 1 species